rnacentral:rRNA from 1 species
GGUGUAGCGGUGAAAUGCGCAGAUAUCAGGAGGAACACCGAUGGCGAAGGCAGGUCUCUGGGCAUUAACUGACGCUGAGGAGCGAAAGCAUGGGGAGCGAACAGGAUUAGAUACCCUGGUAGUCCAUGCCGUAAACGUUGGGCACUAGGUGUGGGGGACAUUCCACGUUUUCCGCGCCGUAGCUAACGCAUUAAGUGCCCCGCCUGGGGAGUACGGCCGCAAGGCUAAAACUCAAAGGAAUUGACGGGGGCCCGCACAAGCGGCGGAGCAUGCGGAUUAAUUCGAUGCAACGCGAAGAACCUUACCAAGGCUUGACAUGAACCGGUAAGACCUGGAAACAGGUCCCCCACUUGUGGCCGGUUUACAGGUGGUGCAUGGUUGUCGUCAGCUCGUGUCGUGAGAUGUUGGGUUAAGUCCCGCAACGAGCGCAACCCUCGUUCCAUGUUGCCAGCGCGUUAUGGCGGGGACUCAUGGGAGACUGCCGGGGUCAACUCGGAGGAAGGUGGGGACGACGUCAAAUCAUCAUGCCCCUUAUGUCUUGGGCUUCACGCAUGCUACAAUGGCCGGUACAAAGGGUUGCGAUACUGUGAGGUGGAGCUAAUCCCAAAAAGCCGGUCUCAGUUCGGAUUGGGGUCUGCAACUCGACCCCAUGAAGUCGGAGUCGCUAGUAAUCGCAGAUCAGCAACGCUGCGGUGAAUACGUUCCCGGGCCUUGUACACACCGCCCGUCAAGUCACGAAAGUUGGUAACACCCGAAGCCGGUGGCCUAACCCCUUGUGGGAGGGAGCUGUCGAAGGUGGGACUGGCGA